rnacentral:lncRNA from 1 species
UUUUUCUAAUGUAAAGAGAUAUAAAGAUAUAAAAUUUUGAGAAUUGCAUCUUAAACCUGGAAAUUAUGACUUAUAGCUAAAAUGCCUUAGGCAUGAGGUUUCUGCUCAGAAUUCCAGUUUUCCCAGUUCCUUCCAGACCUCAAACAGGAUUUAAGUUGAUAUGCAAAUAGAAGAAGCCCGGGGCUCAAUAGAGGACAGAUCUGAGAUCCAAGGAAAAAAAAAGAAUAAAAGUGUCUUUUUACCUGAACUCAAACUAGACCCCAACCAAAAAGUAAAUUAUAUGGUAUUUACUAAUUACUGGCCAGUCAUCUUUUUAGGACUCUUGCUUUUUCUUAGAUUCUGUAUUUUUUUUUUUUUUUUGAGCUCAUGAUUUUGGUCCUACAGACCUAGGUUAAUGUUUUUCUGAUCAACUGUGGAGUUUUUAAACAUUGCAAUGGAGAUUUCACCUGAAAAAGCUACAAAGAUGUUACACUUGUGUUAUGUGUUAUAUGUCGAUAUGUCUGUAUGUGUGUAUGUCCAUAUAUCCUGCAGUGAUAUGACAAUUGACAGAUGAGGAGCGCUCAUAAAAAAAUUUAAAAAUGGAUCCAAAUAUCUUUGAUUCACGUGAUUCAAAUGGUUCAAUUUAAAUUGGGUAAACAGAUAAAAUGUUGAUGUCUAUGAAAUAAUCUGCCUAAAUUCAGAAAUUUACAGAUAUUGUUUCAAAAUGUGAACAGAAGGAGGUUAACAGAUGGAAAAGAGAAACUAGAAGGUUCUAGAUAUGGAUUUAAUAGAGGGAAAAUGUGUUUCUGGAUAAGAGAGUCUAUGUGAUUAAGUAAUUAAGAGGGUUUAAGUAAGGGAUAAA